rnacentral:lncRNA from 1 species
CUUCCCCCCCCCGGACCCUCCCGCAGCCGCCCCUCCCCGCUGCGCUGCGCGCCCGCGGAGCCGCCGCCUCCCGGCCGCACCUGGGGGCGGGCAGCGCCGGGCCCCGACUCGACGCGGCGCGGUUCGCACUUACUCCGCGGGGCCUCCGUGGCGGCGGCGGCGCGGGCCCGGCGGUGCCCCGGGCGCGGUGAGUCCAAUCUCAGGAGCUUCGAGCAUCUGCCGCUUCCACUGGGGUAAUGGUGAGUUGUGCCCCCCCCCCCUGCCCAAAGCUGUCAGCUCAGCUGCUGCAGUUAUCCCCUGAUCUGUGGCAGAAACCUCCAAAACGUUACGUGGCUUAUACAGCCUACAGUUCUAUCUAAAAACUGUUCGGGGCUUUCUUAUACAGCUAAAGAAUUUCAGGAGGAAUAGUGAGAAAAUGUAUUCGGACUGACAACUCUGAGUCCUGAAGUCUGCAAUACCUUUGAGAUCUGACGGGAGCUCCAAGGUGAACGGUUCCCUCUCUGUUAUUCUUUCUCAAAGCAACCACCUCUCCAGACCCGAGAGCUCCUGGCAGCAUUUUUUUCAGUGCCUGUGAAAUCAUCAAACUGCUUUCUAAGAUCCAACGUGCAAACAGCUGUGUCUGUGAUUAUAAUGAGCCUGCUUAUGGAGCUAGGUACGAGUGUGUACAUGUACAGAAGUUUCCUUCAUGAAAUAAGUGCCUCAAACCAGAUUAUAAAUUAUCAAGGAAACCCUAUUUUAUUGCUUUUUACAUUUUCAGCUCCCUAUGGCUGUUAGUUGUCCUCGCUCUUCCCGAUAUUCCUAAAGACCUUC